CACUUAUCAAGAAAGGCAGAGGGUAAUGGCCCGAUGAAGCCUUGACAACCUACUUCCCGUUUUAUAUUUUAAACGAGAGGAAAGGUGCCAAUUCCAACCUGACAGUAAUGUCGGGAUAGAUAAGUC
rnacentral:ncRNA from 2 species